AUGAAUAAACUUGGUCGAGCUGUUGCUGGUCCUCCGGGAUAUGUGCACGCUUGCCACCAACUUUAACCACCUGUGCACUUUUUGUAGACUGGAAAACUUCUUCUCGAGGCGACUCGGAUUGAGGACUGCUGCGCGAAAGCCGGCUGUUCUUGUGUUUCUCAGUCUAUGUUUUCAUAUACCCCGAAUGUAUGUAUAAGAAUGUGUUGCUAGGCCUUAGUGCCUCUAAAAUCUAAUA
rnacentral:misc_RNA from 1 species